UAUGCAAACUGUGCAGUGCUGAUGGA
rnacentral:piRNA from 1 species